rnacentral:rRNA from 1 species
UCCGUAGGUGAACCUGCGGAAGGAUCAUUAGUGAUUGCCUUAAUUGGCUUAAACUAUAUCCAUCUACACCUGUGAACUGUUUGAUUGAAUCUUCGGAUUCGAUUUUAUACAAACAUUGUGUAAUGAACGUCAUUAUAUUAUAACAAAAAAAAACUUUCAACAACGGAUCUCUUGGCUCUCGCAUCGAUGAAGAACGCAGCGAAAUGCGAUAAGUAAUGUGAAUUGCAGAAUUCAGUGAAUCAUCGAAUCUUUGAACGCAACUUGCGCUCUCUGGUAUUCCGGAGAGCAUGCCUGUUUGAGUGUCAUGAAAUCUCAACCAUUAGGGUUUCUUAAUGGCUUGGAUUUGGAGGUUUGCCAGUCUGACUGGCUCCUCUUAAAAGAGUUAGCAAGUUGAACUAUUGCUAUCUGGCGUAAUAAGUUUCGCUGGAAUGGUAUUGUGAAGCGUGCUUCUAAUCGUCUUCGGACAAUUUUUUGACUCUGGCCUCAAAUCAGGUAGGACUACCCGCUGAACUUAAGCAUAUCAAUAAGCGGAGGA